AGAGUUUGAUCCUGGCUCAGGAUGAACGCUGGCGGCGUGCUUAACACAUGCAAGUCGAACGGAGUUUUAAGCGGUAAGUUUCGGAUGGAAGUUUAAGAACUUAGUGGCGGACGGGUGAGUAACGCGUGGGUAACCUGCCUCAUACGAGGGGGAUAACAGUUAGAAAUGACUGCUAAGACCGCAUAAUAUAGCGAAACCGCAUGAUUUUGCUAUCAAAUAUUUAUAGGUAUGAGAUCGGGCCCGCGUCUGAUUAGCUAGUUGGUGGGGUAAAAGCCUACCAAGGCGACGAUCAGUAGCCGGCUUGAGAGAGUGACCGGCCACAUUGGGACUGAGACACGGCCCAAACUCCUACGGGAGGCAGCAGUGGGGAAUAUUGGACAAGUGGGGGAAACCCUGAUCCAGCGAACCGCCGCGUGAGUGAAGAAGUAUUUCGGUAUGUAAAGCUCUAUCAGCAGGGAAGAUAAUGACAGUACCUGACUAAGAAGCCCCGGCUAACUACGUGCCAGCAGCGGC
rnacentral:rRNA from 1 species